rfam:Desulfitobacterium hafniense Y51 DNA, complete genome.
UCCAUCGUGAGAUGGAAUCUGAAGGAAGCCAGCGGCAAAGUUCCGGCCUGAGGGACACAAACAGCAUCAGGCGCGAAACGUGGGGUGAGACUGCGCGACAAGUCGAAGCCCAAAAGCUACACGGACACGUCAGCGUAAAUGGUGCGGGUAGAUGGAAUGAAAGUGAAUCAU